UCUAGUCGCUUGGUGCAAAUAGGAAGAACGGUCGGAAGGUCAGAUCUCCACUCUCCUGAAAACACAAGGCGGAAAAGUCAGGGCGCCACAAAUAAACUUUGCGAUAAAAAAAUAACCAGAAACGGCGAGGGAACGCACUUCGAGCGAUCCGGUCCUUAAGCUCGCGAAUCUUCUCGACGGUAAUCUCGGACCAACGGUAGAUCCGAAGCAAAGCGACGGCUCGAACGCUCUUCAGGAAAUCCUCAGGAUAGACUGGAGACGUGGGAUGGCCAACUGCGAGCACAACAAAAAGAAAGUUCCGUUAAGAUCAACAAAAUCAGACGUAGCUCGCGACUAGAUAUUCU
rnacentral:lncRNA from 1 species